UGUAAACUGAAUAAACGGUUGCUGUUUCAAGCUACUAAGUUCUGGAGAAGUUUGUCACCCAGCAGAAAUUAACUUAUACAAUACUUAACAGCCAAAUUCUCCCCUGUAGGUAUUUUACCACUUUGUAAUCCCAACAGCAACAAAUGAGAGCAUCUUUUCCUCUCUGCUGUUAGAGUAUGUCGUUGAAAUUUUGGAUUUUCCCAUCUAAAAGGUUUGUUUACAGAGCCCUUGGGCACAUCGAAUGAAGGAAGGGAGAUCAGUUAAAUCCUGAUUUCAGCUUUUCAACAUGGAUGUGAACAACAUCCUGAGGGCAACUGGACUUUGAGUCAAAUUUUUACAAGUCUUGAAAGGUCAGAAACAAUCACAUCUUUAGAAGAAAUCUUUACACAGGAAAAUACACGUGGCUUUACUUACACCAUGCAAGAAAAUGGACAAAAUCCCCUCUUCCUUUUAAAGUUUUAAGUCAGAGUCAGGAAGAGUCUGGAGUCCCUUCCUUGCGCAACGCGUGCUGGUGGAGGAGAGGACUGGUCAGAGACAGCUGUGGAGCUCCCCACUGAGUUUCCAAAGGCCACAAGGGUCUUCACUUAAACAUCGUGGCCGCGUCGUCCAGGUUCACUGCAGAGAACAGGAACCGCUGUGUUUCCAAGUGUGGCCAGACUUGCGGGAGACUGGACAAUUGGCCCAUCCCCACACCUUUGCUGUGACGUUGUCAUUGGCAGAGCGUGGGUUGCAGGCUGGUGGUGUCUCCAGGGGCUUUUGGAGUCAUAGUACAGAGCCUUUACCAAACCCACACAGAACGUACAAAUGACUGGUGCAGUCCUGGGCUGGAGUCCAAAACCUGUAGGAGGAAAGCCUGUAUGAACUUGCCAGUAGUAUUUGUAGGAAGUCACAGAUCGGUGGUCUACACCUGGUUUGGGUUGUGUUAUCCGAGUUUCUCUCAUUGAGCAGCAGCCAUCUUUUAGCUCUAUGAUUCACCACUCACCUUCACCAUUAUUAAAGACUUGCAUGAAUAUAUUCUGCAGUCUUGUGAGUCUUUCGAUAAUUUGAACACCUGUGAUUGACACCAUUGACACAAUUUCUCCACAAAGCGUGCUCCACCGGCUCUUGGUUUUCAACUUGGCCAUCCUUGUGAGGGGUGUGCAGACAGAAGUAACAAUGUACGGGAUCUGAACCCGGGAUCUGAGAGCCCUUGAAUGAUUCUGUCGCCUCCUAGUCCUUCUGUCAUGGCCGUAAGAUUUCCCCUCCAGCGAGGUGGCUGCAGCCCCUUUCACAGAGACCCAAGACUGAACACACAUGGCGUGCAGUUGGCCAAGCCCAGCCCAGCUGGACAGACAGCUUGAAGCAGAACCACGCUGACAAACCCAGUUCAGGUCAGCCAACUCCAGACGGACGAACUGCAGAUUCAUGAGAAUAGAGGAUUGUCAUUUUAAGCCCCUGAAUUUUGGGGGUGGCUUAUUAAGCAGCAUCUGUGAAGUAAUUAACUGAUUGUUGCUGUUAGUGCUGGGAGUAGAUUCCAACUCCUAACAUCCCUGUGGACAGCAGAGCAGAAC
ensembl:lncRNA